ACGCAUCGGAAUAGACGAGCUUUCAGCAACGUCGUGAAACCCGGUAUGUUGUAUUUUUGUCACUGUAUAAUAUCAUAAUAUUCAUUUGUCGCUUAAACUAAAAAUAAUGUGAUGAAAUUACCUAAUCCUAGUCUAUUAUUAUGGUACAUAGUCGCCUGCAGACAUUUUACUGGAAGAGUGGGGGAAGUUUAAACGAUGACCUUUUUGUCGGUCGCUUUCAAAUGUUAACGUGUUUAAUGUGUUUUUU